rnacentral:rRNA from 1 species
AACGAACGCUGGCGGCAGGCUUAACACAUGCAAGUCGAGCGCCCCGCAAGGGGAGCGGCAGACGGGUGAGUAACGCGUGGGAAUCUACCCAUCUCUACGGAAUAACGCAUGGAAACGUGUGCUAAUACCGUAUACGUCCUUCGGGAGAAAGAUUUAUCGGAGAUGGAUGAGCCCGCGUUGGAUUAGCUAGUUGGUGGGGUCAAGGCCUACCAAGGCGACGAUCCAUAGCUGGUCUGAGAGGAUGAUCAGCCACACUGGGACUGAGACACGGCCCAGACUCCUGCGGGAGGCAGCAGUGGGGAAUAUUGGACAAUGGGCGCAAGCCUGAUCCAGCCAUGCCGCGUGAGUGAUGAAGGCCCUAGGGUUGUAAAGCUCUUUCACCGGUGAAGAUAAUGACGGUAACCGGAGAAGAAGCCCCGGCUAACUUCGUGCCAGCCGCCGCAGUAACAC